rnacentral:misc_RNA from 1 species
UUUCCGUAGGUGAACCUGCGGAAGGAUCAUUAAUGAGUUGUCAUGGGGUUCGAUGCUGGCAGCCAGUUUUUGGAUGCGUGUGCUUGCCCUAACAAUCAUCUUCUUCCAAACACCUGUGCACAUUUUUGAGGGAGUCUUGAGUUGGUUGCCGCUCUUGGGUGAUUUUCUCACAUUCCCUUAAAUCAUUAUACGCUAUUAACAAUGUUGAACGUGCUCUGUGCCGCAAGGCCAUUAAUAUAAUACAACUUUUAACAACGGAUCUCUUGGCUCUC